rnacentral:lncRNA from 1 species
GUGGGGGAGGAGGAGGUGACAAAGGGGUUCUUAUCUAAAAAAUCUGGCUUUUUUUUCUUCUUCAUUUUCCCACUUCCUUUUUUUCCCUAAUCCUUAUUUUUCUACCCCCUUUUUCCUACAUCCCUACCUUUUUACUCCCUAUAUCUCAAAUUCACCUGUUCUUUUACUUCCUUUAUCUCACAUCCGAAAAAGACUGUCAUCUCCUCACUAUAGAGAUUAAAAUAUUUAA